rnacentral:rRNA from 1 species
GACGAACGCUGGCGGCGUGCUUAACACAUGCAAGUCGAACGGAAAGGCCCCUUUGGGGGUACUCGAGUGGCGAACGGGAGAGUAACACUUGAGUAACCUGCCCUUGACUUCGGGAUAACUUCAGGAAACUGGGGCUAAUACCGGAUAGGAAUCCUUGCUGCAUGGUGGGGGUUGGAAAGCUUCGGCGGUUUUGGAUGGACUCGCGGCUUAUCAGCUUGUUGGUGGGGUAGUGGCUUACCAAGGCUUUGACGGGUAGCCGGCCUGAGAGGGCGACCGGCCACAUUGGGACUGAGAUACGGCCCAGACGCCUACGGGAGGCAGCAGUGGGGAAUAUUGCACAAUGGGCGGAAGCCUGAUGCAGCAACGCCGCGUGCGGGAUGACGGCCUUCGGGUUGUAAACCGCGUUCAGCAGGGGCGAAGCUUGUGGUGACGAUACCUGCAGAAGAAGCACCGGCUAACUACGUG